rnacentral:rRNA from 1 species
AUUGCACGCUGGCGGCAGGCCUAACACAUGCGAGUCGAACGAGUAGCGAACGGGUGAGUAAUGUCUGGGAAACUGCCUGAUGGAGGGGGAUAAAUACUGGAAACGGUAGCUAAUACCGCAUACCAUCGGAUGUUCCCAGAUGGGAUUAGCUAGUAGGUGGGGUAAAGGCUCACCUAGGCGACGAUCCCUAGCUGGUCUGAGAGGAUGACCAGCCAAACUGGAACUGAUACACGGUCCAGACGCCUACGGUAGGCUGCAGUGGGGAAUAUUGCACAAUUGGCGCAAGCCUGAUGCAGCCAGGCCGCGUGUAUGAAGAAGGCCGUCGGGUUGUAAAGUACUUUCCUCGGGGAGGCGUUACCCGCAGAAGAAGCACCGGCUAACUCCGUGCCAGCAGCCGCGGUAAUAC